AAAAGAAGAAAUACAAGAAAUGAUGUUACUUGCUCAGACAUUUCUAAAAAAACCCAUAGCUUUCAGGUGAGACUGGUGACACACAGAUGGAACUCAUUACCUGCAGUGCCACAUGCUGCUCAAGAGAAAGUUUAAUGAGGGUACAUUGGUCUUGGCACUUUGACAUUUUUUUUCUGACUGUGGCUGUGGAAUGGAAGCAAACAAUACCCAUCACAGAUCAGAAAUUAAAGAAUUUAACAGAGAGGAACUGUACCUACUACAAAGCUUCAGUUCAUUGAAACUCAAUCACUGUGAACCAGACAAAAGAGGACAGGGAAAAACAUUGGAGUGCAUUGGCCCACAGGUGAGAAGACAAGAUGCAAUCCAUUCCCUGUCACCUUACCUGCACUGAAUCUUGAGAUGCUGUUUUACUCAUCUGCUUCAGAUAUGUCUAUCACUGUAAAGAGUAUAUCCAUACAUCUGUUGCUCCUUUUUGAGUUCCUCAAAUAACAAGUGUUUUAUGAAAACUUCUUUGAAUAUGAUAGAAAAGACAUAACUGGGAGAAAAGGUAAAUAUACUUUUUCAACAGAGACUUAAUGAACUGUAGAAAAUGAAAUUCGGAUUAAGUUGUAAAUAUCUCAGUUUUAAUAAGAAAAUCUACUUAUGUGAAAAUAAAUAUAUAUAAAAUAUUGAUUUUGACA
rnacentral:lncRNA from 1 species